rnacentral:rRNA from 14 species
AUUAUGGCGGGGUGGCUGCACCCGAUCCCAUUCCGAACUCGGCCGUGAAACGCCCCUGCGCCGAUGGUACUUCGUCUUAAGACGCGGGAGAGUAGG